UGUUGGUGAGGUAACGGCUCACCAAGGCGACGACGGGUAGCCGGCCUGAGAGGGCGACCGGCCACACUGGGACUGAGACACGGCCCAGACUCCUACGGGAGGCAGCAGUGGGGAAUAUUGCACAAUGGGCGAAAGCCUGAUGCAGCGACGCCGCGUGAGGGAUGACGGCCUUCGGGUUGUAAACCUCUUUCAGCAGGGAAGAAGCGAAAGUGACGGUACCUGCAGAAGAAGCGCCGGCUAACUACGUGCCAGCAGCCGCGGUAAUACGUAGGGCGCAAGCGUUGUCCGGAAUUAUUGGGCGUAAAGAGCUCGUAGGCGGCUUGUCACGUCGGUUGUGAAAGCCCGGGGCUUAACCCCGGGUCUGCAGUCGAUACGGGCAGGCUAGAGUUCGGUAGGGGAGAUCGGAAUUCCUGGUGUAGCGGUGAAAUGCGCAGAUAUCAGGAGGAACACCGGUGGCGAAGGCGGAUCUCUGGGCCGAUACUGACGCUGAGGAGCGAAAGCGUGGGGAGCGAACAGGAUUAGAUACCCUGGUAGUCCACGCCGUAAACGGUGGGCACUAGGUGUGGGCAACAUCC
rnacentral:rRNA from 1 species